CCUACGGGGGGCAGCAGUGAGGAAUAUUGGUCAAUGGGAGAGAUCCUGAACCAGCCAAGCCGCGUGAGGGAAGACGGCCCUAUGGGUUGUAAACCUCUUUUGUCGGAGAACAAAACCCGGGACGUGUCCCGGACUGCGUGUAUCCGAAGAAAAAGCAUCGGCUAACUCCGUGCCAGCAGCCGCGGUAAUACGGAGGAUGCGAGCGUUAUCCGGAAUGAUUGGGCGUAAAGGGUGCGCAGGCGGCAUGUCAAGUCUGAAGUGAAAGGUACGGGCUUAACCUGUACAGGCUUUGGAAACUGGCAUGC
rnacentral:rRNA from 1 species